UUAAGGGCACUUGCUCUUACAGAGAACCCAGGUUCGGUCCCCUUGUACCUACAAGAUGUUCACAACCAUCUGUAACUCCAAUUCCAGGGGAUCUAAUUUUGUCUUCUGACUUCCAAGGCCGGCACACAUGUGGCGAACAUACACACUUGCAAGCCAAAGCUCAUACACAAAAAUAAACUGGGUUUUUUGUUUUGUUUUUUGUUUUGUUUUGUUUGUUGUUUUGAGACAUGGUCUCACUAUGUAGCUCUGGCUGUCCUGGAACUCACCAUGUAGACCAGGCUGGCCUUAAACUCAUAGAGAUCUACCUGCCUCUCCCUCCCAAGUAUAGGGAUUAAGGGCAUGUGUCACAACGCUGAGUAAUAGCAAUGAAAAAGAAAAACAUUUUAAAAAGCCAGGCACUGUGACCGGUACCUGCUCUGGGGCAGUGCUGGCAAACAGAUCUCUGUGGCCAUCUGGCCAAGCAGCAUAGCCCAAAAAGAAAGUUCCAGAGUCCUAGUGAGAGACCUUCUGUCAAAAACCAAGGUGGAUUGUUCAACACACAGUCGACCUCUGGCCUCCACAAGCACACAUUUGGAAUCACCUGUGCGUGUGCAAAUGCACACACACACACCACUAAAUAAAGGAUAAAAUUGGAGAAUAAGAGUUUUCUUUGCAGACUCGUGAGGAUGGAUAAGACACACUUGGUAGAACUCUCCCACAGAGAUUUGACAACAAGCGUGCUUAAUGAUUGCUAACCGUUCAGAUUUGAUAUUCAGUCUUCCCUCCACAACAGCUCAGGCUCCAGUUGCCAGAUAGGGCAUCCUGCCAGCAGCCUCCCUAGGCCUAAUUAGCACAGGACACCAUGACACAGCUAACAAACAAUGCCAUCAGAGGGAGGCCCCGAUGCCGCGCACAGGCACCGUUCAGAGCAGCCAGACUCCCAGGCUCCAGAGCAGCUCAGGGAACAGCCCUCAGGAAGACAUACUGAUGAGGGCCACAGAGAAAGGGCCUCAGUGCUAAGAAAGCCAGAAGCCUGGCUUGGAGCCCCUGGCUCCGCUUGCCUGAGCAGAGUUGAAUGGAAUUGAGCUAGGCACCUUGGAAAGAUGAAAGAAAGCAGGCCGCAGAUGGGGGCAAUCAGGGAGGUCCAAUGACGAGACUGCAUAGCGAGAAGUCAGACACAUUUCUUUAGAAAGCCAUCUGCUUGGAUGCUUUGAACAGUGAAACAGAAUCCCAGCUAUCCCGGGUUGGCCUUGCGUUUGCUGUAACCAAAGAUGCCCUUGAACAUCUGAUAGUCCUACCUCCACGUCCCAGGGACUGAGAAUAUAGGCACGUGUGCGCACUUACGCCAUGCUGGAGACCGAACCAAGGGCCUCUUUUUUUUUUUUUUAAAGAUUUAUUUAUUCAUUUAUUAUAUAUAAGUACACUGUAGCUGUCUUCAGAUACACCAGAAGAGGGCAUCAGAUCUCUUUACAGAUGGUUGUGAGCCACCAUGUGGUUGCUGGGAUUUGAACUCAGGACCUCUGAAAGAGCAGUCAGUGCUCUUAACCACUGAGCCAUCUCUCCAGCCUACCAAGGGCCUCGUGCAUCCAAUGCAAGCACUCGACCAAGUAAGCGACGCCUCCAGCCCGUGGUGUGCCUUGCUUUAGAGGAUUCUAGAAAGUAACAGAAAGGAAAGUGUUCAGAGGUGGCAGACCAGCGCGGGUUACAGCAACAACCCCGGUAGAAAGGACCAGACGCUGAUGAAUAAGGCUGCUGUCUGAGGACAUGAGGAUGUGACAAGGGGACACGACUUCAGGAUUUACUGCCACCCUGCCAAGCAGCCUAAGCAGGUUACGCAAGAAAACCAGCCAGUUUGGAAAGAACCAUCACCACGUGCCUUGUAGCUGGGACUUGUCUAGAGAAAUGUCUAGGAAAUCUUACUAGAAGUGCGGCUGGAGUUCCUGAUAGGGAGGAAGGGACGCCCAGGAUGACACAAUGCACCUAAGGUGAGUGCUGUGGAAGGACAUGAGGAAGGACAGUCUCCUGGCACAUGACCUCAGUCCUAUCUACCUUCUCAGAGCCACUUCCUGAAGCCCGAUAGCUGUCUGUACCUGUAGUACAGGCACAAUGACUGGAACCACAUAUGCCCCAGGACCGAGUCUGGGCAUCACUCUGUAGGAGAGUCUACACAUGCACUUUGGAAGCAUCUGCACACCGCUCACGGUUUGAUUGUUCUGGGUUAAGCUUAUAUUGAGAUGUCACCCAAAUGGGUGAGAAGGGAUACAAGGCUAAGUGGCUUUGGUGUUUGCAAACCUUCCCCCUGUUAAGAGGGAGAAGGUAGAUAAGAGACUCCACCAGACCAGGGAACAGGAGUCAACUUUGAAUGGAUUGGCCGUCUUUGUCCUGGUUCUCUGCUGAUUUCACCCUGAACUCCCAGAAUGCCAGCUCCUCAAGAAAAGCCCAGGUUAAAGAUCCGAUGUCUGGUGUGUUUCGUGCAUGCAAUCUGCACGAGCUACUUCCCUUGGGAGGGCGCUUCAAAUACAGAUGGCUCCUGUCUCCUGUCAACAAAACCUAGAGUUACCCAGACAAGCUUCUUCCUCUGAUUUCACUGUUAGGAGGAGCUCACCAUCUCUUUCUGUCUUGCCACACUUCCACAUAGUGCUGCACGGACGAACCUUCCCCCACUGGGUCCUUUUAACACGCAGGCAUGCACCUGCAGUCUGAAUAAAAGCAAUAACCAUCCCAGCUUCAGUGAGGCCAAGAAAUAGAAAA